rnacentral:rRNA from 1 species
CACGUAGGGUGCGAGCGUUGACCGGAAUUAUUGGGCGUAAAGAGCUCGUAGGCGGUGUGUCGCGUCGGCCGUGAAAACCUGCAGCUUAACUGUGGGCGUGCGGUCGAUACGGGCAUCACUGGAGUUCGGCAGGGGAGACUGGAAUUCCUGGUGUAGCGGUGAAAUGCGCAGAUAUCAGGAGGAACACCGGUGGCGAAGGCGGGUCUCUGGGCCAUUACUGACGCUGAGGAGCGAAAGCGUGGGGAGCGAACAGG